GGUUUUCUCGGUGGGCCCGGCAUCAUCACAAGGGUCCUCAUGUGGGGAUGAGAAGAGCUGAAGAUUCAGAGCCAAAGAGACGGUGUCUUGUGGGAGAUUUGCAGACUUUGACCAGGGAGGCAGGGGCCGUGAGCCAAAGAAUGGGGACGGCCUCUCCAAGCUCGAGAAGGCGGGGAUACCUGUUUCCCUCCUCCAGAGCCUCCAGAAAGGAAUGCGUUUCUGCCAACACCUUCGUUUUAGCUCUGUGAGGCCCAGUUUGGACUUCUGACCCACCGAACUCUCAGCUGGAAGGUCCUCAGGGUGGGGACCCUGUGUGUCUUCACGGCCCCAGCCCGUGAUGCCCGGCCCGGAGUGGGCAUCUGAGUGAAAGAACGGGUGGAAAGCAACUGGUCUCUUCACUGUCAAUGUGCCGGUUGAUUUACCAAUUCCUCGAGAUGGGGCCAUCUUGCUCAGGGGACUAUGAACACUUUCCUGGGCUGUUUGGAGCCAGUCCUGGUCCUUUCAGUGUUCUCGUGCACUUCUUCACGUCCAUGGAAAUAAAAGGAAAUGAAACCAAAACAAUGAUUUGACAUUCGGAGGGAAAAGGCCCGGAAUGACAGGAGGCUGAAGUGACCGCGAACGUUCGUCCGCUCCUCAGGGAUUGACUUUUGUCGCCCCAGCACCGCUGGCAGGGACCUGGAGCCGAUGAGGCAGUGUUCUCCCCAGCCACACCUUUAAGCGAGGCUGACGUGGAGGUCAUGCACAGCCUGACUGGUGGUGACAGUCGCAACCUGACUGGGCCCCAGAUGUUCACACAGGAGAAAUGAAAACGUCUGUUCGCACAGAAAC